AAGAUUUUAUCUUAAUUAAAGUAUCUGAGUUGCAUUCAGGAGAUGAGGGUUAAUAUCCCUCAAGUCUUA
rnacentral:tRNA from 1 species